GGCCUUAUGGUGUAAUACACAUCAGAUUGCAAAUCUGAAGAUGCGGGCUAAUCCCCACUUAGGCCU
rnacentral:tRNA from 1 species